rnacentral:piRNA from 1 species
UGCAGAGUACUCCUGGGCCAAUCAUUG